rnacentral:tRNA from 2 species
GGGCCUGUAGCUCAGUCGGUAAGAGCGCACGCCUGAUAAGCGUGAGGUCGGUGGUUCGAGUCCACUCAGGCCCACCA